CUGAUCUCCUUACAGGGAAGGAUGAGAAGCUUCGACUAAGGUGUUCGAUUCGAGCGCCAGCGAGAACGCAUUGCCGCAGGCAACGACCCGAAGGGCGAGGCGCUUUAGCGCCGAGUAAUCCUUCCCCCACCACCA
rnacentral:sRNA from 1 species